CAGGCAUGCUGGAGCUCCGCAGCGGCGCCUGGGACGAAAUCGCCCGACACCGUAAUCAUAUCGGAGCUUAA
rfam:Agrobacterium radiobacter K84 chromosome 1, complete sequence.